rnacentral:rRNA from 1 species
CUUGCUAAUGAAAUUCUUAGUGGCGGACGGGUUAGUAACACGUGAGAAUCCUACCCUUGAGUGGGGAAUAGCCUUUCGAAAGGAAGAUUAAUGCCCCAUAGUCUCUACGGAGUAAAGAUGCCUUCGGGUGUCGCUUAAGGAUGGGCUCGCGGCCUAUCAGCUAGUUGGUGAGGUAAGAGCUCACCAAGGCAACGACGGGUAGCUGGUCUGAGAGGACGAUCAGCAACACUGGAACUGAGACACGGUCCAGACACCUACGGGUGGCAGCAGUCGAGAAUCAUUCACAAUGGACGAAAGUCUGAUGGUGCAACGCCGCGUGGAGGAUGACGGCCCUAGGGUUGUAAACUCCUGUCAUCAGGGAGUAAGACUUAUUCGUUAAUAGCGUGUAAGUUUGAUAGUACCUGAAGAGGAAGGGACGGCUAACUUCGUGCCAGCAGCCGCGGUAAUACGAAGGUCCCAAGCGUUGUUCGGAAUAACUGGGCGUAAAGCGUGUGUAGGCCGCGCGGAAAGUCGGAUGUGAAAGCCCAAG